rnacentral:rRNA from 1 species
CCCUUAGAUGUUCUGGGCCGCACGCGCGCUACACUGAAGGGAUCAGCGUGUUUUCCCUUUCCGAGAGGAACGGGUAACCCGCUGAACCCCCUUCGUGGUAGGGAUCGGAGCUUGCAAUUGUUCUCCGUGAACCAGGAAUUCCCAGUAAGCGCAAGUCAUAAGCUUGCGUUGAUUACGUCCCUGCCCUUUGUACACACCGCCCGUCGCUACUACCGAUUGAACGUUUUAGUGAGGUAUUUGGACUGGGCCUUGGGAGGUUUCGGCCGCCCUUGUUGCUCGGAAAGACUCCCAAACUUGAGCGUUUAGAGGAAGUAAAAGUCGUAACA